rnacentral:rRNA from 1 species
CCUACGGGAGGCAGCAGUGGGGAAUUUUGCGCAAUGCGCGUAAGCGUGACGCAGCGACGCCGCGUGAAUGACGAAGGCCUUCGGGUUGUAAAGUUCUUUCGACAGGGAAGAAAAUGCAUAUAAGUAACUGAGUAUGUAUUGACGGUACCUUGAUAAGCAGCGCCGGCUAACUACGUGCCAGCAGCCGCGGUAAUACAGAGGGGGCGAGCGUUGUUCGGAGUGAUUGGGCGGAAAGGGCUCGUAGGGGGUUUUGUAAGUCAGUAGUCAAAUCCCAGGGCCCAACCUCGGGAACGCUGUGGAGACUAGAAAACUAGAGUGUGAUAGAGGUAAGCAGAAUUCCUGGUGUAGCGGUGAAAUGCGUAGAUAUCAGGAAGAACACCGUAGGCGAAGGCGGCUAACUGGGUGGAAACUGACGCUGAGGGGCGAAAGCGUGGGGAGCAAACAGGAUUAGAUACCCGGGUAGUC